GGCUUAUUCUGCAUCUAUACCAGCAUGGGAUCAAGAAGUGCUUUCUUAAGAUACAUGAUAAAGGCUUAAAAGUCUAAAUAGGUUUACCAAGACUCAGAAAGAAGAAAGCAUGAAGAAGAAACAAGAAAAUGUGAAAUAGACUCAUGAUCAAAGUCCAUCCUUUUAGCUUUCAACAUCUGUAGUGUAAUUUACUAGCAUUUCUGAGCCACAGAUUUCUCAUGUGUUAUCUACAGGUGAUAGAUUGUACAUUAGAUCCACAUAAGAACGUCUUCAAAAUAUUGGCAUUGACCUGAAACUCUGGUGUAAGUAUAUGGUCUGCCAUAUAUUCCGUGCUCUUCUUCCAUGUUCUCUUCUAGGUGGCUUUGUUCAAUGAGUGGUAGGGAAGGGUGAGGGGAAAUUUCCAUACAACUUUAAGUGCUGCAAAAGAAGAAAGUUGUAGUGAGUGAAGCAUCACAAAGCAAGGUCAGAGAAUGUGCCUACCAUCUUGAUUCCAUUCAGGCCAUUACCAAUGCUUGUGCUGAGGAGUUUAAGUAAUUUUCAUAAAGGGUUUUAUACUCAAAGAAUUGAGGGCAAAGCAAUCACACUGGAACAAAAUGUGCCAAUUCUUUCAGUAAUUCAUAAAACUACUUUGAAAGCAAUUGAAUAUUUUAGUAUUGUAAUUUGCACUAUGAUAUUACUAUGUUCGGACAAACUAAAAUACUCUGAAAUCUAAUGCCAAAUGUACAGUUCAUAGGUUCGUGUUAUUUCUUAUAAGUGUUUCAUUGCAUUGUUCCAGUUGUUUAAUACCAUUAACUUACCCUGGGUGUGUUGUUAUGAUGCAGAUCCAACAGGGUUAUUGUAAGCACACUAAUUAGUCAUCUGGGGUUUUAUAGAUAAAAUCAUACAUUGAUCAGAAAUCACUUUUCUACUUAUUUUUUUGUAGAGUAUUUUUCCACACUUGAAAAAAAAACAUGAUUAUUUUAUAUCAAACAUCAGUUUUCUUUAAAAUCUUAUUUUAGUAGCCACUGCAUGUUUGAAAUAAGAUGGUAAAUAUUAUAUGACAAUAGUGAGAUUGUGUUUGUAAGUGAAAGUGCAUGCUCUAAUGAAUCACACAGCUUUGGUGGCAUAUUUUUUCCACUGCCACCUGAUAUGCAAGCUUUGUCUGAAUCUGUGUGCAUGUUUCACAUGCUUUCCAGAGUCCGUUUUUUAAUAUUUACAAAGUGAUAUGUGAUUUUUAGUGCCGAUAAGCCAGUGAGCCAAGAUGCAAUACUGUUUUGCUUUCAUUUUUCUUCAAACUUAUUAUGUUGUAAAUUUUCUCGGAAAACUUUUUCUUGAAGUUGUUGGCAAUAAACUAUAACAAAAAAAAAAGAAUUUGCUGAUAAAUCUUACAAGUGACUGCACAGCAACUUACUGUUACAAAGCAUGAUGUGAAAAGAUCAUUUUACUAAUUCCAUUCUAUGAAUACAAUAUUCUGGCAUCUUUUUGUAUAAUUAAGAAGAGUUUAUCAUUUUCAAAACACUGCCAAAGUCAGUAAUACUGCCAAAAGGGAGGAACACCAAGUCAGACCUGCAUUACAUUAACCUGAACAAUAGCAGACUAUCCAGACUGUGUAGACUGUCAAUCAGUACAGCAAAUUAGAGGGACAGACCCACUCCUUUGUUUCUUAGUCAUUUGGAAAAUGUAUAAGGAAUAUAAAUUUUGGCAACAGAGACAUGCCUUUACAUGCUGUUAACUCACAGCAACAUUUUAAAUAAAAUUCAUUCCAUUCUGGAAAAGAUAUGCCCAGGUCUUUUGUUUGUUUCAGAAAUAUACUUGUGUUUUUGAAAGCUCGGAUUUCAAACAGUUAAUAUAUGUAGACCACCUGUUCCUUCUCCAAAUGAUAAGUCAUUUAUUGUAACACGUAAUGGGUAGAACAUAGCUUUCAGUCAGUUACUCAAAUCACCAGUAUAAACAUUCGUAAUGUUAGAAGGUGAUUUCACUGUGAUGUUAUGAGAGCAAUGGAAACCCUAGUUAUUCGUUCAUUUUUCUCAUGUAUUUAUUUAUAGAAAAUUGCUUCUUUCAAGUCUGAUGUUGACAGCAUCAAAUGAGUUAAUAUAAUGCUAAGAAAACUGACUCUGGUUAUGAUCUCAGGUCACAAUCCUGAAGCUGGGUCUUGCUGCAAUCCAAAAUAAAACAUUGAGUCAAAUGAUGAGCAGCCUGCCCGGCCUUAGAGAGGGCAACUAUAGCAGUCAUGAUACCAUAGGUGUAAGCAGCAGAAAGAAUUGCUGCACUAUUCAUGACAUUGUAGGUGUAUGAACGUUCUACACCAUUCAUGAUACUAUAGAUGUGUAACACUCAGCAAACAUCUGAUCUGGGCUCUCGGUUGGUACUGCAUGCAUCCCUUCAUUUAAAUAACCUGUAAAUAACAUCACUUUGUGGCAGCUAAGCGAAUAUUUUAAUAAGCCAUGAAAGGCAUGAUAUAAGAAAUCUGUACUUUCAGGUGUUUGGGGAAAAAAAUUGUACCUUCCAUAAAUUAAAGUGGAGUUGCCGUUUGAAAUUUCCUUCCCUUAAAAAUAUGCUGUAACACUGUAUGUUCGUCGCUGUCUUUUCAGACGUAUAAAUACAUGAUGUGACUACUACAGCUUUGUGAAAUUUUGUUUAGCAAUUAAUGACUUUAACAAUCUGAACAACGAUUUCAAGGCAGAAGUAAAUACAUAAGGAAUUUGAGCCUGUUUGUAAAAAGUCUAUUCCUUAUGUCAGAUUUACUGUAUUCAAUGUAAAUACCUCACGGAUAUAACACUGGAGCCAGUGGAUGUGUAAAUAAUUAUGUUCUAUUUGGGCCUAAUGCAUUCCUGUAAUGUGAAUAUUUAAAAUAAAGGAAUUCAAUUUAAAUGCACAA
rnacentral:lncRNA from 1 species